rnacentral:misc_RNA from 1 species
GUAACAAGGUCUCCGUUGGUGAACCAGCGGAGGGAUCAUUACUGAGUACUACACUCUCUACCCUUUGUGAACUAUUAUACCUGUUGCUUCGGCGGCGCCCGCAAGGGUGCCCGCCGGUCUCAUCAGAAUCUCUGUUUUCGAACCCGACGAUACUUCUGAGUGUUCUUAGCGAACUGUCAAAACUUUUAACAACGGAUCUCUUGGCUCCAGCAUCGAUGAAGAACGCAGCGAAACGCGAUAUGUAAUGUGAAUUGCAGAAUUCAGUGAAUCAUCGAAUCUUUGAACGCACAUGGCGCCUUCCAGUAUCCUGGGAGGCAUGCCUGUCCGAGCGUCGUUUCAACCCUCGAGCCCCUGUGGCCCGGCGUUGGGGAUCUGCCACGGCAGUCCCCUAAAACCAGUGGCGGACCCGAAGGGCCCUCUCCUUUGCGCAGUAGCAUUCGCCUCGCAUCGGGAGUCCUCGGCGUCCUGCCUCUAAACCCCCCACAAGCCCGCUUCGGCGGCACCAAGGUUGACCUCGGAUCAGGUAGGAAUACCCGCUGAACUUAAGC